rnacentral:rRNA from 1 species
UACAGAGGGUGCAAGCGUUAAUCGGAAUUACUGGGCGUAAAGCGUGCGUAGACGGUUAUUUAAGUCAGGUGUGAAAGCCCCGGGCUCAACCUGGGAAUUGCAUUUGAGACUGAAUAGCUAGGGUGCGGAAGAGGGAAGCGGAAUUUCCGGUGUAGCGGUGAAAUGCGUAGAUAUCGGAAGGAACACCAGUGGCGAAAGCGGCUUCCUGGCCUGUUCUUGACGCUGAGGCGCGAAAGCUAGGGGAGCAAACGGG